UCUGUUGCUCUUUGGUUUAUCCAGUUGCUUUGCAGUCUCUUUGGACCAUGAUUGUCUGUUUCUGUGUGUUUGAGCAGCAUAAUGAGUUACUUGUAGAAAAACAUGGAGCUGGGUCUGUGGCCCCAUCAUUCCCUGUCCACGUGGCUAGAAACCCCCUGUAAGCAGGCCCCACUGUUGCUUGUUCUGUCUCCAUUUAUGCCAGGCCACUGAUUGUGCUUUUGAUAUCACAGAUUUGGGAAUGUGAACAAGUGAGGAGAAAACCCUGUUUCUAAGCCACUAAAAUCAUGGUGUUAAGGAAAAGGGAAGCUGAAGCCAAGCAUCACAGUCUUCACUGCUCCUUAGGAGACUGGGAUGAAGGCUUUCUUAUGUAUAGAAUUGUUUCCCAAAAGUUAGUUUUGGAAGGUUUUAGGACUUCACAGACUGGGCUGAAUUCCAGUCAUGUUUUAAUUAAAGGAAGAGAAUUAAGCGA